rnacentral:rRNA from 1 species
CCUACGGGUGGCAGCAGUGAGAAAUAUUGGUCAAUGGGCUUACGCCUGAACCAGCCAAGUCGCGUGAGGGAAGACUGCCCUAUGGGUUGUAAACCUCUUUUGUCAGGGAGCAAUUGGCGAUACGUGUAGCGUUAUCGAGAGUACCUGAAGAAAAAGCAUCGGCUAACUCCGUGCCAGCAGCCGCGGUAAUACGGAGGAUGCGAGCGUUAUCCGGAUUUCUUGGGUUUACAGGGUGCGUAGGCGGAAUGCCAAGUCAGCGGUAAAAUCGCGGGGCUCCACCUCGCUCCGGCGGUGAAACUGGCGUUCGUGAGUGGGCGAGAAGUAUGGGGGAUGGGUGGGGGAGCGGUGAAAUGCA